UACGGGGGGUGCGAGCGUUGUCCGGAAUCACUGGGCGUAAAGGGCGCGUAGGUGGUUUGAUAAGGCUGUGGUGAAAGCCCGGGGCUCAACCCCGGGUCUGCCGUGGCGACUGUCAGACUUGAGGGCUCGAGAGGCAGACGGAAUUCCGGGUGUAGCGGUGGAAUGCGUAGAGAUCCGGAAGAACGCCUGUGGCGCAAGCGGCCACCUGGGCCUUAUCUGACGCUGAGGGACGAAAGCGUGGGGAGCAAACCGG
rnacentral:rRNA from 1 species